rnacentral:rRNA from 1 species
UACGGAAGGCAGCAGUGGGGAAUAUUGCACAAUGGGCGCAAGCCUGAUGCAGCCAUGCCGCGUGUAUGAAGAAGGCCUUCGGGUUGUAAAGUACUUUCAGUCGUGAGGAAGGUGUUAAGGUUAAUAACCUUAGCAAUUGACGUUAGCGACAGAAGAAGCACCGGCUAACUCCGUGCCAGCAGCCGCGGUAAUACGGAGGGUGCGAGCGUUAAUCGGAAUUACUGGGCGUAAAGGGCACGCAGGCGGUUAAUUAAGUUGGAUGUGAAAUCCCCCGGGCUUAAACCUGGGAAUGGCAUUCAAGACUGGUUAGCUAGAGUCUUGUAGAGGGGGUAGAAUUCCAUGUGUAGCGGUGAAAUGCGUAGAGAUGUGGAGGAAUACCGGUGGCGAAGGCGGCCCCUGGACAAAAGACUGACGCUCAUGUGCGAAAGCGUGGGGAGCAAACAGGAUUAGAUACC